rnacentral:tRNA from 1 species
GCGAUCGUGGUGAAGUGGUUAACACAUCUGGUUGUGGUCCAGACAUUUCGUGGGUUCGAUUCCCAUCGGUCGCCCCA